AAGUAUACUGAGUAGUGAAUGUAAUUGAACGUGGAGAGCAUUAAAAAACGCCCUCUAUGCUACUAAUUCUGCUCAGUUAAUCAUGGAAUUUUUUCAGCCUAUUUUGUUUCGACCUUAGGGAGCAUCCAUUAAUCUUUCUGGACGCGCGCCAUGAUCCUGAAGCUGCACCGAGCUCGCGCCGUAUUCGACGAGCGAGCUUUUUUGGUGGUGUUAUACUUUUUCCAACGGCGCGCCUCCUGAAGGGUUAAGUACGUCACGCUAAAAUUGGAAAUUUUCAACCCUCCCUGCCUCCUCUAAACGUGACGAUAUACUCUACGGAUGACCACUUAUGUAAUGGAUUUCAUUUCAUUACUUAAAACAAAAUAAAGUUUUGAAUAUAACUAAAUUAUACCUAAAGUUGUUAUCAUAUCUGCCUAUGAUAUAAUUGUGAUCGAUUAAAAUAAGAUCUCCAUCGACAAAUCAAGUCUAUUAUGUGUCAACGAGCUCUAUGUGAUGUUAUACUACCCCUCUCGUGUACGUCUGACACACUGUGAAUCCGUCAUUACUCUUUAAGGAGUUAAAAGUACCCUUUUUUUGCUGCUGUAUGAAGCUGUCAAAAUAAAGGGUAAUGUCAAAUUUUUAAAAGAGGGUAAUUUAUGCCCAUUUGCCGGUUCAAAGUGUUUACUCUUUUAAGGGUGAAAAAUCACUUCAUUUACUGAUAGUUUAGGCAUCAAUUUGUUUUCUGUCGGAGCUCAAAUUAAACUUCCAAGUGAAAAUUCAAAUAGAAGUUCAUCAUAAUAAUUAAUUUCUUAUUUAUUAUAAUUCUUGUGAUAUGAACUCUGAAUUUCCCCCCUGUGUGCUUGAAUUCGGGCUUAAAAGAGCGGUGCUUCGACUCAUAAAAGCUAAAAGUAGCCAGGUGAUUACCUCGAAGUCCUGUUUCGUUCCGGAAGCUCCAAUUCUUUCUCCAGAACCCGUAAAAAACGGUGUCAUCAUCCGGCAAAGGAUUUUGAGGGCAUCAUUUAAGCCAACUUCAACGAACUCGAAUGCAUUCCCGAUAAAUGAUUUAUAUAUGUAUGUGUUAUAUUUUAUAUUAUAUUUUUAUAAAGAAUCAUAAUAAAAGCAAUAUUUUUGUAAGUAGUCAGGAA